GAGAGAAGUGCGUCGCCGGCGAAGUGGUGAUCGGAGGGGGGAAGUUUACACGCAAUAGUGUUUUCUGACUGAGGUUUUGAUAUCUGCAAAAACCCACUGAGGAAGCUAAAAGAAGGGAAGAAAGUAAGGUUUAAUUUCGAAGUAGGAGUCUCAGCAAAGGUGAGCAGCUCUAAGGAAAAGAAGAUUGUAAGAGAAGAAGGUGGGCAGUUAUGAAGAGCAAGAAUGCCCGCAUUAUCU